ACUGUACAGCCUGGUUCUAUGGAGAACACUGAGGUUCUACUGACACACUGUACAGCCUGGUUCUAUGGAGAACACUGAGGUUCUACUGACACACUGUACAGCCUGGUUCUAUGGAGAACACUGAGGUUCUACUGACACACUGUACAGCCUGGUUCUAUGGAGAACACUGAGGUUCUACGGACACACUGUACAGCCUGGUUCUACGGAGAACACUGAGGUUCCACAGACACACUGUACAGCCUGGUUCUAUGGAGAACACUGAGGUUCCACUGACACACUGUACAGCCUGGUUCUAUGGAGAACACUGAGGUUCUACUGACACACUGCACAGCCUGGUUCUAUGGAGAACACUGAGGUUCUACUGACACACUGCACAGCCUGGUUCUAUGGAGAACACUGAGGUUCUACUGACACACUGUACAGCCUGGUUCUAUGGAGAACACUGAGGUUCUACUGACACACUGUACAGCCUGGUUCUAUGGAGAACACUGAGGUUCUACUGACACACUGCACAGCCUGGUUCUAUGGAGAACACUGAGGUUCUACUGACACACUGUACAGCCUGGUUCUAUGGAGAACACUGAGGUUCCACUGACACACUGUACAGCCUGGUUCUAUGGAGAACACUGAGGUUCUACAGACACACUGUACAGCCUGGUUCUAUGGAGAACACUAGGGUUCUCCUGCAGAUUCUGCAGCGCUGAGCUGUGAUUGGCUGCUGAGCUGUUUGCAUGGUGGUGUUGCCAUGGUAACAGGAAGAGCAGCAGAAUCUGAUAGAUCAAUAAUCAAUAAAUGUUCUCAAAGCACAGUUACAAAAGUACAGUUUAAAAACAAACAAGUUCUGUAAUAAAUGUUCUGUAGUAAAUGUUCUCUAAUGGACAUUCUAGAGUAAAUGUUCUGUUCUAAAUGUUCCAUAAUAAAUGUUCCAUCAUGUUCUGUAAUAAAUGGUUGAUAAUAAAUGUUAUAUACUAAAUGUUC